GGAGUGUGCUCUGCAUUGGGAAAAAUAGUGUGAAUCAGUCACUACUGGAAUUGCACAAACUGGCCACUGAGAAAAUGACCCCCAUUUGUGUGACUUCAUUGAGACUUAGUACCUGAAUAAGCAGGUGAAAUCCAUCAAAGGACAUAACCAACAUGUGCGAGAUGGGGGUCCCUGAAUCUGGCAUGGCAGAGUAUCUCUUUGAGAAGCACACCUUGGGAGAUAAUGAGAGUUAAGCCUUGGGCUGGCUUCCCAUAGCCACAGGAGUGACUUCCCUGAUCACUAGAGCAAUACGUGCUUGUUGGAAUUGACUUUACCUUCUUUAUAACUUGUACCAAAUCAUCCACUUAUGUCUUUAAUUUGUACCAUUUCUUUUAAAAAAAUAUAUAUAU